rnacentral:rRNA from 1 species
GAUGAACGCUGGCGGCGUGCCUAAUACAUGCGAGUCGAGCGAACAGACGAGGAGCUUGCUCCUCUGACGUUAGCGGCGGACGGGUGAGUAACACGUGGAUAACCUACCUAUAAGACUGGGAUAACUUCGGGAAACCGGAGCUAAUACCGGAUAAUAUAUUGAACCGCAUGGUUCAAUAGUGAAAGACGGUUUUGCUGUCACUUAUAGAUGGAUCCGCGCCGCAUUAGCUAGUUGGUAAGGUAACGGCUUACCAAGGCAACGAUGCGUAGCCGACCUGAGAGGGUGAUCGGCCACACUGGAACUGAGACACGGUCCAGACUCCUACGGGAGGCAGCAGUAGGGAAUCUUCCGCAAUGGCGAAAGCCUGACGGAGCAACGCCGCGUGAGUGAUGAAGGUCUUCGGAUCGUAAAACUCUGUUAUUAGGGAAGAACAAAUGUGUAAGUAACUAUGCACGUCUUGACGGUACCUAAUCAGAAAGCCACGGCUAACUACGUG